rnacentral:lncRNA from 10 species
UUAUAGGGAAUUAAAUACAAUAAAAUAAAGCAUCCUACUGAGGUCAGACAUCUGAGAACAACAGGUUAGUCAAAUCCUCAUUCCUGUGAAAUUUACCAAGGGGCUUUUAAAAUGGCCAAACGUUAAAGUAUCUAGCAUGAUGCUUGAAAUAUAAUAUGUGGAAAUACACUAAACUAAAAUGACCCUGUCCAGUCUCAUGGCUUCAAAUACCAGCCCCAUGCUAAUGAUCAAAUUUUCUAUGCAUUCAAAUCUCCCGAACUCAGAUUUAGAUAUCUAACAUCUCUACUGGUUUCUUCACCUGUUUCCCACAUCAAACUUCUUUCUUUUCUUAAUCCAUUUCCCCCCACCUUUUCCAUUAUAUUAAUCAUAAUUAAAUAGGGACGUUUGGCUCAGGCUCUGAAAUUUGACUCACAUCCCAUGUCAAAUUCAACACCAAAUCCUCUCAACUCUACUUUAAAAAUAUUUUCAAAAUAUGACCACUUCUCUCCACUACAACUCUAGCUCAAAUCAUCCUAUCUUUUUCCUAGGUGAUUGCAAUAACAUCUCACUACCUGGAUCUACUCUUUGUCCUAUAGUCAAUUCUUAUCUCAGCAGACAGCAGACUAUUAAAGCUGUGAACCAUAUCAGCCUCUAUUGCCUUCUGUAGCUUCCAUUUCACCUCCAUAGAAAUCUCCACGAUGACAUCUAAGACUCUCUAUGGUUGGUCCCUCUUCUUGCCUUACAACUAAAAACUCUUCUACCAUUUCCACGGUAUUCACUCUGCUGUAGCAGGGAGACCUAUUUGCUGUCCCUUAAACAAAGCAGAUGUCUUUCUCCUCUGGUCUUUGCAUUUGCUGGUCCUAUUACUAGCAGUGUUAUUUUUUACAUCCACUUGAUGACUUCCCUCAUCUCCUUCAAGUCCUUGAUGGAGAAUGUUCUUAUACAGUAAGGACGUACCUGGCAACCAUAUUUAAAACAGAAUCUUCAGUCCCAUGUCCAGAACUCUUUAUGCGCCUUCUCUGUUUUAUAAUAGUUUGAGAAAAUCAGUAAGUGUUUUGGGGACACAGCACUUACCACCACCUGACAUAAUUAGGCAUAAAACUGUAUUUCUUAAUUAUUUUCUUUCUUAUAUAUUUGUUUGCCUUUCAUCAUCUAAGCAUUUAGCAGAAGUUGUCUAUGUUAUUCACCAUGGUAUUCCUAAUUCCUUAAAAAGUGUUGGAUAUAAAACAAACAUACAUUGAACAUUUGUUGAAUAAAAGAAUUAUAUGUAAAAUUACGGUCAAGAAUUUUUCGAGGGGAAAACUCUUAUCCUCUAAACACAUUUAUUUGGAUACCUGGUAAAUUAUACUAUAAUUAACUUGGGAAAUAAACUUGUUCCUCUUAUGUUAAUUGAGGGAAGCUUUGGCAGGAGCAUUCUGCUUCAUCUCCAAGUAUUUUAAUCAAAGCCUAUUGUUAUUUUUUUCAAAUAUGACAACCCUAUGGGACCCACCGAGCUGAAGAUUAGUGAAGAUUAGCUGGGACACCCAGUUCCUGUUCUCAUUGUGGAGUGCCAGAUUUCCUGGGCAAACAGUGACUCACUGGCUGUAAGUCCAUGGAACAAACACAGAAUUUGUUACUUUUCAUUGACAUUGUUUUAGUUGAGUUGUGUUUAACUAACUUGUUGAAUGAACUGACACUGUACAUUCUCCCUGUAAAAUAACAGUGUGUUUUCUAUUAUGCCUAGUCUGCUGCCUCAACUUGGCAUUAUGUUAAUUUAUCCACCAGCCAGUUUGUUUAGGUUGUAUUCAAGUUAGUCUUUUGUGACAUAAAUAAAAUUAGUGAUGUGAUUAUAAAAGAGUGGUGCUAUUUAUGUAAAAAUAUGUUGGGUCUUGAAAAGAUUAGAAAAAGCUAAGUUGAUUAAUAUGAGGGCUAAGCAACUGUAAAAUUUUUAAGAAAAAAUUGUAAAAUUAGAAUAAUCAGAAUAACAAAAUUUUAAU